GUUUCAUCUUGCAGGGCUGGGGUAAGAUGAGUUAACUUUGUUAAACAUAUUGGUGUGUCAUAAAUAUGUAUGCUGCCUUAGAAACCAUCAGCUUCCCUAGUCAUAUUGAGUCAUACAUCUGGAACACAGCUGAAGGGGUUAAUUAAAAACAGCUGCUUCUAAUCGUGCUUGUGCUUGCGUUUGCUUCCCUAUGAAAGGGCAAGGGAAAGACAGAAUCCAAAAGACAGAAAAAGGAGCCUUGCAGGGAGAUGGGAAGUCUCCAGUGGCCAAGCUGAUGUGAGGAGAGGCUGGACUCCGAGAAUCAGGAAAGAGUCCUGAUGAAUACCUUAAAGUGGGCUGAAGUUACAUACAAAUGUAGCAUUAAGAUAGAACACACUCAGCUUAAAUAUAAGGCACAGCCAGUUAUGCAAGUCAAGCUCUCUCUCUGAACUGGAGCUCACCAGUUUAGCUACGCUGCCUUGCCAGUGAACACCAGGGAUCCAUGGGUCUCCAUCCAAACAUUGGGCUACAGGUUUUCGGCUACAAAAAUUGAUUCUUGGAGGAACUAGAUUCUAGAUGGACAAGAUAUGAAAAAUAAAGGAUGAAGCAACUGUUAUCAUGACCUUUGGGGCCUUCCAGAUGCCACCAGCUAGAGACAACAGAGAAGAUAUCGUGUGUUGUAGAUGUUGACAAACACUCUUACAGAGGUCUGGAGAGAUAUCAGCGGUUAGCAGCUUAUACUACUCUUAUAAAGGACCCGACUUUGGUCCUUGCACUCAUAUCACACAACUAACAACCAUUUGUAAUUCAUCUCCAAUGGAUCCAGCACCCUCUUCUGGCAUCGGCAGGUACCCGUACUCAUGUGCACAUACUUGUACACAGACACAUGAUGAAAAGUAAAUUAAAUAAAAAUAAAUAAAGCCAGAAACCUAAAA